UAUUCUGAGACUGGUGGCCACUCUGUUGGUGCUGCAGCUGAUUCGAGUGAAGAAGUUAGCAGAGGGAGAGCUGCUUCAGUCUCUCUUCAGUCUGAAAGAGUCACAGGGCCCGAGGCCGGUGCACUGGAAGUCUGUGAAGAAAGCAGUGGACUGGGCUUGUUGGGCAGACAGACAGUAUCCAUGUGUGUGCAGCAGGCUGGAGUUUGGCUGGGAUUGGGAAUCAUCCACACGUCAGUUACUGGGGUGUGAAUCACCCUUCCCGUACUCUCCACUUAUACCUGUUCUAGAGAGAUGUGUGGGUUUAUGGGUGGUUUAGUAACUGAACACAUACAUUAUUUCAUUCAUUUGUUGUUUCAAAAGUUUGCAAUGUGUAGAAGAUUGUCUGUGAUUCCUCAGAGCCUUAAACAAUAUUUUAAAGAAUAGUUUACUCCAGAAUUUUAAUUGCAUUUUUUAUUUACCCUAUGUCAUUUUAUUUCACUGUUUGCUAGAAAUAUUUUCCUAUGCCGUUUCCACUGCAGUUUCAUUUGUGCUUGUAGAUCUGGUGUAGUGUUUGUAUGACUGGGUUAUUCCAAACUCUAUUGAUUUUAGCAAAUUAUUGUGUUCUUGGACAUGUAAAUACACCACAAAGAGUAGAUAAAGCGAUACAUUAGUAGCCAGAUGGUUUCUCAGACAGGGUAUAAAAUAAUCCAGCAGGCAUAGCCCUUAAUCUUUAUAGUUAACCUUGUCUUCAAAAUGGCUUUUUGGAACGCCGAUUUAAGUAGGCUACUGAUUACUAGGACCUGGAUUAUGGAGACCAGGGCCCGUAUGUAUUAAGGCACUCAGAGUAAAAAAGUGUCAAAAUUCUACGAAUGACGCAAUUUUACUAUUAAUUUACUAUCAUUACUAAAGGUUCAUAAGUGUUAAAACUAGAUCUCAGCUCCUGAAUUAUACGAGGGAGUUGAAGAGGUCUCCUAACCUAGUUAAGAGUAACAAGAUGGCAGUACAGAGGCAGAGACCAUGGACUUUACAAUAAAGAAACAAUGUGUUGGAAUGAUAUGAUGACAGGGAGUUAAUGACAUAAUGUAAUAUAAAAAAAAUAAAGAAAAAUGUUAAGGA